GCUUGCAGCCAUCCCACCCUGGUAAUGCUCAAUCUUGUCUGAUUUCAGAAGCUAAGCAGGGUCGGGCCUGGUUAGUACUUGGAUGGGAGACCUCCUGGGAAUACCGGGUGCUGUAGGCU
rfam:Gallus gallus isolate RJF #256 breed Red Jungle fowl, inbred line TCD001 chromosome 1, whole genome shotgun sequence.